CAAGUACUCCCUUCGUUCCAAAAUUCUUGUCUUAAAUUUGUCUAAAUACGGAUGUAUCAAGUCACAUUUUAGUAUUAGAUACAUCUGUAUCUAGACAAAUCUAAGACAAGAAUUUUGAGACGGAGAGAGUAUGAG
rnacentral:pre_miRNA from 1 species